GACGAACGCUGGCGGCGUGCCUAAUACAUGCAAGUAGAACGCUGAAGGAGGAGCUUGCUCUUCUGGAUGAGUUGCGAACGGGUGAGUAACGCGUAGGUAACCUGCCUGGUAGCGGGGGAUAACUAUUGGAAACGAUAGCUAAUACCGCAUAACAGUAGAUGUUGCAUGACAUUUGCUUAAAAGGUGCAAUUGCCCCACUACCAGAUGGACCUGCGUUGUAUUAGCUAGUUGGUGGGGUAACGGCUCACCAAGGCGACGAUACAUAGCCGACCUGAGAGGGUGAUCGGCCACACUGGGACUGAGACCAGGCCCAGACUCCUACGGGAGGCAGCAGUAGGGGAUCUUCGGCCAUGGACGGAAGUCUGACCGAGCAACGCCGCGUGAGUGAAGAAGGGUUUCGGAUCGUAAAGCUCUGUUGUAAGAGAAGAACGAGUGUGAGAGUGGAAAGUUCACACUGUGACGGUAUCUUAACAGAAAGGGACGGCUAACUACGUG
rnacentral:rRNA from 1 species